GGGAAUGUGGCUUAGUGGUAGAGUGCUUGCUUAGCAUGCAUGGAGUCCUGGGUUCAAUUCCUCAGUACCA
rnacentral:tRNA from 1 species